rfam:Drosophila busckii chromosome 3R sequence.
GCUAUUAAGCUUUCCAAUGCAUUUUCAACUGUUCAUUUAGUUUAAGCUAAAACUUUCUUUGUGAAAUGUUCUUUGUAUUCAACAUUCUUUGACUGGGCAUGCACCUAAGCCCAUUGUAUGCCCGGCCAAACAAUGUUGUUACCAGUCUGGGCUUCAGUUGAACGCUUUACAGACAAAGUUUACUUCAGAAAAUUUACAUGCAAUAUUUCAGUUGCUGGCAUAACUUGGCAUAGCUUCUAAACUGUACUAAUCGAAAUGCAAAAUGUUUCUCCUGCUAAUAAUUGCUUGACUUAUUUAAGUCUGCCAUUAUUAGUCGCGGAUUGAACGUUUAAACAAUAAUAAUCGUUAGAGUAUUUUUAAAAGAAAGCUAUGCUUGGGAUUUCAUGUUGUAAUUUAACAUUCUUUGUCUAAGAAUUAUUUAUAAAUUGCUUCAACAUGCAUGCAAAUCGCUAUACUAACAAUUGAUGCACACGUUUAUAUUACUUUUAAAUUUUCUUUUUAACAACAAUUUAAAAUGCAUUGGAACAUAGCUUAGUGGC